UACGUAGGGGGCAAGCGUUAUCCGGAUUUACUGGGUGUAAAGGGAGCGCAGACGGCAGUGCAAGUCUGGAGUGAAAGCCCGGGGCCCAACCCCGGAACUGCUCUGGAAACUGUGCGGCUAGAGUACUGGAGGGGCAGGCGGAAUUCCUAGUGUAGCGGUGAAAUGCGUAGAUAUUAGGAGGAACACCAGUGGCGAAGGCGGCCUGCUGGACAGUAACUGACGUUCAGGCUCGAAAGCGUGGGGAGCAAACAGG
rnacentral:rRNA from 1 species